CUCAUUCUUCUUCCAGUAACCCAAGUACUAGGAAAAACCAAUAAAACUAAAAGAUGUCUGUGACGUCAUCGUCAGAUCCGGAGCUCCGCUCGCCGUUGCUCCAACCUUUUCUAAAGCAAUCGGAACCCGAGAAGCUAACCAUAGAUGAUAUGCUCCAAAAGCACUGCGGCGAAUUCGGGUGGUGGCAAUUGCGCCACUUUGUGCUAACGAGCUUGGCUUGGGCACUGGAGGCGUUCCACACCAUGGUAAUGAUAUUUGCAGACAGAGAACCGGAUUUCAGAUGUUUGGGACCGGGUUGCGAUGCGACGGCGAAGAGUGUUUGUAGAUUUGAAACGGGUUCGUGGGAGUGGAUUGGUGGCCUGGAGAGUUCCACGGUGGCACAGUGGGGUUUGGUCUGUGGACAGAAGUUCAAGGUCGGAUUGGUUCAGUCCGUUUUCUUCGGCGGCUGCAUGAUUGGUGCUGGGAUAUUUGGCCAUCUCUCAGACUCCAUACUAGGAAGAAAAGGCUCUCUAACAGUAGUUUGCAUGUUAAAUGCUUUAUUUGGUUGCCUAACUGCAUUAGCACCAGACUACUGGACCUAUCUCCUUCUCCGUCUCCUCACGGGUUUCAGCAGCGGAGGCGUCGGCCUCUGUGCUUUUGUCCUUGCCACUGAGCCUAUCGGCCCCACGAAGCGUGGUACCGCCGGCAUGUCCACAUUCUAUUUCUUCUCAACUGGAAUAGCCAUAUUAUCAGGUGUAGCAUACAUUUUUCGUUCCUGGCGGCAACUCUACAUUGCCUCCUCUGUUCCUUCCAUUCUAUUCCUUGUCACUGUCCUUCCUUUUAUCGCUGAGUCCCCACGAUGGUACCUUGUUCGUGGGAAAAUCAACGAGGCAAUGAAACUAAUGAGCAAGAUUGCUAAAUCGAAUGGAAACCACCUUCCUGAUGAUGUUAUCUUGGCCCUUGAUGAAGAAGCAAACAAAACUUCAAGCAACGACCAGAGUUGCGCUGAAGAACCUGCAACAAAUAAAGAAGCAAUAACAGGUUCUCUCAUUGAUGUAAUCCGCUCACCACUCACCCGUGUCCGGUUGUUUCUAACUGUGGCGAUUAACUUACUGUGCUCUGUCGUGUACUAUGGGAUUAGCUUAAAUGUUGUGAAUCUUGAAACCAACCUCUACUUGAAUGUGCUGCUUAAUGCAGUAGCUGAAAUGCCAGCAUUCACUAUAACAGCACUUCUGUUGAACAAGUUCGGGAGGAAACCAUUGGCAAUUGGAACACAGUGGUUCAGUGGGAUAUUCUGCUUGAUGGGAAGUUUGAUGGGAAAUGCUGGGAUAUGGAAAAUCAUGAGAAUGAUUUGUGGGAUUUUGGGUAUAUUUGGGAUGGCUGGGACAUAUAAUUUACUGUUUAUAUACACAGCCGAGUUGUUUCCAACAGUAGUGAGAAAUGCAGCUCUUGGCUGUGCUACGCAGGCAGCACAAAUGGGGGCAAUAUUGGCACCAUUUGUGGUGGUUUUGGGGGGUGCAUUGCCAUUUGCGGUGUUUGCAGUAUGCGGAAUUAUGGGAGGAUUGCUUGCAUUUUGCCUGCCGGAGACAUUAAAUCGGCCAUUGUAUGACACAAUGAGUGGAAUGGAGGAUGGAGAAAGUGGUUGGAGAAGCGUUUGAAGUGAAGUUAUGUAUUUAAAGAAUUUUGUUUCUAAGAGCUUUUCAAAACUCUGAAAUUACUGUUAAGGAGCUAAUUAAUUAAUUAAUUAAUCAUUGAUUGAUGAGGCUUCAGCGAUAGAUAGGGAAUGAGUCGUGGAGCAAAGAGGGGAUAUCAAUGUAAUGGAAGCAAAAUUAAUGGGCGGCGCGGCGUCUUUUCUUUCUUCUCGUUGUUAUUUAAAAUUUUAUCAACCCCA
rnacentral:misc_RNA from 1 species